rnacentral:lncRNA from 10 species
CCUAACCUGAGUCCACCUCUGAAAGCCACAUCUCUCGGGGGAACUGAUUAUGGGUAUCUGAACCUGCAGGCUGAGAACACCAUACAUGAAAUUCACCAAAGCAGGUCCCAUGGGAGACAUCAAGCUGGCCUUCUCCUGAAGCUUUCCCUACUUUCAGAUUUACAGAGGGGGCCAUGUGAGAAGACUGUAGCUGAAGUAAUCUUGAACAGUGGUGAAGAGCAAGGAAUCUGUAGCAAAAAGGCCUGGAUUCAAAAUCUGGCUCAGCCACUCAGUAACUGUGUGACCCCAGCAGAGUCGUUUAACCCCUGGAGCCUUGGUUUCCUCCUGAAAAAUGAGGAUGAAAAUACCCCUUCCCCACUGUCCUGCAAAUGAAGCCAGUAGCACAAAGUAAGUUGGAUAAAUAUCAUCUAUUACUCUUCCCUUGGGAGAUGUCAGUCUUUCAUCCCAUGUGGAGCUAUUUGGUACAAUUUUUCUAUUGGAGAGCUAGCUGGCAGGACGGUGC